rnacentral:rRNA from 1 species
GCCCACAGUUGCCAGCGUACUCUCUGGAGUGACGGGUACACUGUGGGGACCGCCGCUGCUAAAGCGGAGGAAGGAAUGGGCAACGGUAGGUCAGUAUGCCCCGAAUAUCCCGGGCUACACGCGAGCUACAAUGGUUGGUACAAUGGGUAUCUACCCCGAAAGGGGACGGGAAUCUCCUAAAACCAAUCUUAGUUCGGAUUGAGGGCUGCAACUCGCCCUCAUGAAGCUGGAAUCCGUAGUAAUCGCGUUUCAACAGAACGCGGUGAAUACGUCCCUGCUCCUU